UCCAGACUCCUACGGGAGGCAGCAGUUAGGAAUAUUCGUCAAUGGGGGAAACCCUGAACGAGCAAUGCCGCGUGAAGGAUGACGGUCCUCUGGAUUGUAAACUUCUGUUGUUAGGGAAGAACGACCUAAGUAGGAAAUGACUUAGGAGUGACGGUACCUUUCAAGAAAGCUCCGGCUAACUACGUGCCAGCAGCCGCGGUAAUACGUAGGGAGCGAGCGUUAUCCGGAUUUAUUGGGUGUAAAGGGUGCGUAGGCGGCUUUUUAGGUCUAAGGUUUAAGCCCGGAGCUUAACUCCGGUUCGCCUUAGAAACCGAUUGGCUUGAGUAUGGUAGAGGCAAGUGGAAUUUCUAGUGUAGCGGUAAAAUGCGUAGAUAUUAGAAGGAACACCAGUGGCGAAGGCGACUUGCUGGGCCAUUACUGACGCUGAGGCACGAAAGCGUGGGGAGCGAAUAGGAUUAGAUACCCCAGUA
rnacentral:rRNA from 1 species